CUUCCUUAGGUUUAACUGAAGCAUGUCAGUCAGUUUGUGUAUUUUUAGAAAUCGUUCAAUAUUUGGUUUACGUCAUUUUGAUUUUUGGGUUAAAAUGUGGCGUUUGCCGGUUUGCUAAAUCAAGUCAAUUAGACUGCCUCUUUCAUUGUGUUCCGUUCGGUGGGUUUGAUUUGCCGGCAAUCAGGGGCACUCCCGCACAUCCCGCUCACCUCAUAUAGGUCAACAAAAGCAAACGCAACAAACGAGCUUCGAAUUACAACUGAGAGCGGUGCCAGCAAAUUCAUUAAGCGAAUGGCUCGUUCACAGAGCAGAGCCGGAAUAGUUGGUAACUGGAGCACGGAAUGGACUUACUACAGUAGCAAAAACUACAGGCCAUGCAACAUUGAUAGCGGAAGGAAACGAGGCCACACUCAAAACGCAACAAAACACAGAAAAGUCAAAAGAAAUAAUGUGAAUAAUUAAAAUGCCGAACUAA